rnacentral:rRNA from 1 species
CAACAGGGAUUGCCCCAGUAACGGCGAGUGAAGCGGCAACAGCUCAAAUUUGAAAUCUGGCCCCUAGGGUCCGAGUUGUAAUUUGUAGAGGAUGCUUUUGGUGAGGUGCCGCCCGAGUUCCCUGGAACGGGACGCCGCAGAGGGUGAGAGCCCCGUCUGGCUGGCCACCGAGCCUCUGUAAAGCUCCUUCGACGAGUCGAGUAGUUUGGGAAUGCUGCUCAAAAUGGGAGGUAUAUGUCUUCUAAAGCUAAAUAUUGGCCAGAGACCGAUAGCGCACAAGUAGAGUGAUCGAAAGAUGAAAAGCACCUUGAAAAGAGGGUUAAACAGUACGUGAAAUUGUUGAAAGGGAAGCGCUUGUGACCAGACUUGGGCGCGGCGAAUCAUCCGGGGUUCUCUCCGGUGCACUUCGCCGUGUUCAGGCCAGCAUCAGUUCGGCGCGGGGGAAAAAGGCUUCGGGAACGUGGCUGCUCCGGCAGUGUUAUAGCCCGUUGCAUAAUACCCUGCGCUGGACUGAGGACCGCGCAUCUGCAAGGAUGCUGGCGUAAUGGUCACCAGCGACCCGUCUUGAAACACGGACCAAGGAGUCGUCUUCGUAUGCGAGUGUUCGGGUGUCAAACCCCUACGCGUAAUGAAAGUGAACGCAGGUGAGAGCUUCGGCGCAUCAUCGACCGAUCCUGAUGUUCUCGGAUGGAUUUGAGUAAGAGCAUACGGGGCCGGACCCGAAAGAAGGUGAACUAUGCCUGUAUAGGGUGAAGCCAGAGGAAACUCUGGUGGAGGCUCGCAGCGGUUCUGACGUGCAAAUCGAUCGUCAAAUAUGGGCAUGGGGGCGAAAGACUAAUCGA